rnacentral:rRNA from 1 species
UACGUAGGGGGCAAGCGUUGUUCGGAAUUACUGGGCGUAAAGGGCGUGUAGGCGGUGCGGUAUGUUGGACGUGAAAUCCCCGGGCUUAACUCGGGGGGGUCGUUCAAAACUGCCGUGCUAGAGUGUGGGAGAGGGAAGUGGAAUUCCCGGUGUAGCGGUGAAAUGCGUAGAUAUCGGGAAGAACAUCUGUGGCGAAGGCGGCUUCCUGGCCCACAACUGACGCUGAGGCGCGAAAGCUAGGGGAGCAAACAGGAUUAGAUACCCUGGUAGUCCUAGCCCUAAACGAUGAACACUUGGUGUGACCCUUCACGGGGUCGUGCCGGAGCUAACGUGUUAAGUGUUCCGCCUGGGGAGUACGGUCGCAAGGCUGAA